GGUGUUUUGGCAUAUAUUGCUGUUGUGUAUGUAUAUCUAUAUAUAAUGAUGCACAUUUAUACAUUGAAUUGAAGCAGAGAUAUAAAAUAGGAGCAGUAAAUGCAUUAUGUUGCCACCCGUGUGACAGAUUCCAGAAUUCGACCAAGUAAAAUUUUAGAACCACUCAAUUCAAAAGCCCUGCUCAGGUAUAUUUAUAACCUGCAUGAGUGCCCUGCUGAGGGUGCACAGCCCUCUA